UUGAUUAGCUAGAUUAUGUUCUUACUAAAGAUGUUUUGCACUUUAGCUAAGCUAGAAUUCUGAGCUCAGCUAAAAGUCACUUAAAAUAGAAACUUUUGGCUCUUGUAUAAAUAAGGUUGAUUGUCAUUUAUGGCAUGAGGAGACACUUUAUUUGACACAUUUUUGCAAACCCAUUGAGAGAGAAAGAUUCACUUGGGUUCCAUUCUUCAUCUUCUUCUUUCCUCCAUGUAUUUUGAUGCUACUCAUGGCUAUGAGUAGUUAAUUUCCUCCAUUGUUGGGGUUAGAUGUAACUUUACUCAAACUCUCUUGUAUCUCUUGGUGUGUGUGUGGG
rnacentral:lncRNA from 1 species